UACGGAGGGUGCGAGCGUUAAUCGGAAUAACUGGGCGUAAAGGGCACGCAGGCGGGCGGUUAAGUGAGAUGUGAAAGCCCCGGGCUUAACCUGGGAAUAGCAUUUCAGACUGGGAGUCUAGAGUACUGUAGGGAGGGGUAGAAUUCCACGUGUAGCGGUGAAAUGCGUAGAGAUGUGGAGGAAUACCGAUGGCGAAGGCAGCCCCGUGGGAAAAGACUGACGCUCAUGUGCGAAAGCGUGGGGAGCAAACAGG
rnacentral:rRNA from 1 species